rnacentral:rRNA from 1 species
CUAAGUCGAUGGCGACCGGCGCACGGGUGAGUAACACGUAUCCAACCUGCCGAUGACUCGGGGAUAGCCUUUCGAAAGAAAGAUUAAUACCCGAUGGCAUAGUUCUUCCGCAUGGUAGAACUAUUAAAGAAUUUCGGUCAUCGAUGGGGAUGCGUUCCAUUAGGUUGUUGGCGGGGUAACGGCCCACCAAGCCUUCGAUGGAUAGGGGUUCUGAGAGGAAGGUCCCCCACAUUGGAACUGAGACACGGUCCAAACUCCUACGGGAGGCAGCAUG